AAAGAUUUGAUAUCUACAAUUAUGAAGUACGGCCUUGCACCUGGAGGAUCUAAGUAUAGGCCUAAAUUUGGAGUUGGUGUUCACCUUAGUGCUCUCCAUUGUGCCUCCAAAAGUGCUAUUAAUUGCGAUGCUGAUGAAAAUGGCGUACAUUACAUGGUUUUUGCUCGUGUGAUUUUGGGUAAUAUGGAACCUUUACACUGCGGAUCUGAACAAUGGCAUCCCAG
rnacentral:misc_RNA from 1 species